rnacentral:rRNA from 1 species
AGUGAACGCUGGCGGCAGGCCUAACACAUGCAAGUCGAGCGGCAGCGGGUCCCCGCGAGGGGAUGCCGGCGAGCGGCGGACGGGUGAGGAACACAUCGGAAUCUGCCUGGUUGUGGGGGAUAACGUAGGGAAACUUACGCUAAUACCGCAUGCGACCCUGAGUCGACGGACUUGGGGUGAAAGUGAGGGACCUUCGGGCCUCACGCGACCAGAUGAGCCGAUGUCGGAUAGCUAGUUGGCGGGGUAACGGCCCGCCAAGGCGACGAUCCGUAGCUGGUCUGAGAGGAUGAUCAGCCACACUGGGACUGAGACACGGCCCAGACUCCUACGGGAGGCAGCAGUGGGGAAUCUUGGACAAUGGGCGC